rnacentral:rRNA from 1 species
UUUGGGCGUGUCUCCCUUCUUGGGAAACUCUCUCGACCCCACGAACCCUUGACCUCAAAUCGGGUGAGACUACCCGCUGAACUUAAGCAUAUCAAUAAGCGGAGGA